rnacentral:misc_RNA from 1 species
GAUGAAGAACGUAGCGAAAUGCGAAAAGUAAUGUGAAUUGCAGAAUUCAGUGAAUCAUCGAAUCUUUGAACGCACAUUGCGCCCGCUGAUACUCCGGCGGGCACGCCUGUCCGAGCGUCAUUUCAACCCUCAAGCCCUCCUUCGGGAUGGGCCUGGUGUUGGGGCUCGGCCGCCAUCUCCGGCGGCCGUCCCCUAAAUACAGUGGCGGUCACGUCGCGACUCCUUUGCGUAGUAGAAACACCUCGCUCCGGAUAGCAACGCGGUCCACGCCGUAAAACCACCAAUUUUCAAUGGUUGACCUCGGAUCAGGUGGGAAUACCCGCUGAACUUAAGCAUAUCAAUAAGCGGAGGA